UAGUCCAUGGUAUCCAGAUAUCUGGUCAAAUACUAGUCUAAACGUCACUGUGAAGACACUUUCCAGAUGAUACUAACAUUUAAAUCAGUAGACUUUGAGCAAAGCCAAUUUCCUUUCUUUGUGUGGGUGGGCCUCAUCUAAUCAGUUGAAGGCCUUAAGAGACAAAAGACCAAGAUUGCCAGAAGAAGAGAGAAUUCUGCUAGCAGACUGCUUUUGGAAUCAAGCUGCAACAUUGCUUUUUCUCUGGGUCUCCAGUCUACCAGCCCACCCUGCAGACUUUGGAUUUGCCAGCUUCCACAGUUAUGAGCUCUCAGAACAAUCCAUAUGGCUGGAAUCUUGAGCACGGUCCGCGAUAGUCCCCGGGAGAAAUGAAGACCAGAGGAGGACCAGCAGCCAGAGGCAGACACGCUCUCCAGGAGACAAGUGAGCGGGGCUGGAGCUAUGUUAGACCAGCCAAGGGUAGCCUCUGCAUUAGAGCCUCAGUGACCAUCCCAGGAAGAAUGAAAUGUAAAAUCUAUCCAUUAAUUGCAGUCAAAACACAUUUCUGGAGUUGGAUUUCAGCCACGCCCCCAUGACUGUCCAUGAGAUUCCUAGUGGGGCUGUCCAUGUGCUGUGUUAGGUAGGGUUCACAGCAGACUACAACCGUCCUCGGAACUGUUGCUUCCUACCUCCCUGAUUGCAACUUCCUAACUUGGAAUGUGAGCCGUCUGCCCUAACGCAUGGCUUGCAGUCAGGGGUCUCAGUUGCACGUGGCUCACAAAAGCAGAUGUGCAUAAUAAAUACCUUUAUUUUUCAGUAA